rnacentral:rRNA from 1 species
GAUGAACGCUGGCGGCGUGCCUAAUACAUGCAAGUCGGGCGGACAGAUGAGGAUCUUGCUUCGCUGACGUUAGGGGCGGACGGGUGAGGAACACGUGUAUAACCUACCUAUAAGACUGGGAUAACGUCGCGAAAGCGGAUCUAGCACCGGAUAAGAUAUUGAACCGCGUGGUUCAUUGGUGAAAGCCGUUUGUGCUGUCACUUAGAGAGGGUUCCGCGCCGGAUUGGCUAGUUGGUAAGGUAACGGCGUACCAAGGCUAGGAUGCGUAGCCGACCUGAGAGGGUGAUCGGCCACACUGGAACUGAGACACGGUCCAGACUCCUACGGGAGGCAGCAGUAGGGAAUCUUACGCAAUGGGCGAAAGCCUGACGGAGCAACGCCGCGUGAGUGAUGAAGGUCUUCGGAUCGUAAAGCUCUGUUAUUAGGGAAGAACAAAUGUGUAAGUAAACAUGCACGUCUUGACGGUACCUAAUCAGAAAGCAACGGCUAACUACGUG